rnacentral:lncRNA from 1 species
GAGCUUUUCCAGAGGAAGGGCUGAUGAGAAGAGUCGCAGCUGAAUAGUGAGAGAAAAAGCCUGGUAUUUAUUGCUUUUGUUUGGCUUUUGGCUACAGAGACAGGAACCUUCUAAUGGGCAAUAUUUGUCAAACUUCUGUGUGAUAUUUUGAGUCCAGAAAUUGGAUGUAGGUAGUGUCAUCUGAAGGACAUUAGAAAGAAGGAUGGAGAUGCUUCAUAGAAGUAGGAAUGGAGACGCUUCACAGUUCAUGGCUGAUAUUCUUCUAGGCUACUUCCAGUUUCCAGGAAAAGAAUGCUGCAUCUUUGGGACUUCGCUCCUAGUUGAUAAGGAUGAAACCAUUUCAGAAUGCCUGUGGUGUGUGCUCAUGAGCAAUGCCGAGACCGGAAGCUUCUAGUAGGCCUGAGGCACAUUGAGCUCGCAUCUUUGGUACAAUGACUGACACAAGUCAGCAGAGUAUAAACAAGAUGAGAAUUCAGCAGAACACAUGUAUUAUAAUUGAUUGACAAAAUAAAGAUGAUUUCUGCUAAGACUAGUGUAAGUAUGAAUUUGAGAAUUUAAAGGUUUUUUUUUGGGGGCGGGGGGAGGAGAAUUUCAAAUGAGGAAAAUGUAUUUGAAUAGGCCCAAAAUUGACACUUUCUUUUCUAAUAAUUAAUUAAUUUUUAUAAUAAAAUAACUGCCAUGAAUAUGAUAAUAUAAAUCUAUUAUUAUCUGUAUUAGUUGCCUUUCUGGUUUUGAUACAAACAGCUGAAAGAAGCAAUUUAAGGAAGAAAAUUUAUUUCCCAGGGCUGGGAUCAGGGAGAGACAAAAAUGGAGAGAAGCAGAGAUGUAAACAGACAGAGAGGGAGAAAGACAGAGACAGAAGAGAGAGAGACAGAAAUGUAAAGAGACAGAGAGAGACUGUGAGGAAAAGGUUAACACAGAACCUGCCUAUGGUUCCUAACUUAUAUCUCCUGUGAGCAACUCCAGUUUUCAACAUAGGCCUCGAAUCCUAAAGCCUCCAUAGUCUUUCCAUUGGUAACAUCAGCUGGGGAUCUACAUGAGCGUUGACGCUACAUUUCCUACUUGAACAAUGACAUCACCUAACUUCUUCACAACAGACUCAAGAGCUCUACCAUCCGCAAUGGCUAGAACAAGGGUCAGCACACACUGAGGACUGACCAACUAUUCUGUUAAAGGCAUGCAGGGUUGGAGAAUUCGUGUUUGUUUGUUUUAAAUUAUGCUUGAGAGAAUUUGGUUAGUGCUAAGGGAUUUGGGCUGAUCACUUUAGGAGAGGAAGAUCAAAAGGAUGAAUUCAUUUAGCUUCGGUUUCACUUUAUUAGUUUCAGGAAUGUUUUAUUGUGUCACUCGCUGUACACAGGGUGCUAUGUUAUAUGAGAAUAUUUUCACACUUGUAUGUACUGUACAUUGAGCGUAUUGCCCACACAUGUUCAAACACUGCCUUUCUUCCUUCUCUUCCUCCUAUUAAUCCCGCUUUCUCUAGAAAGUUUCACUUCUACUUUUGUGUCAAAUACAUACUUGAUCUUAUGUAUCUAUCUAAAAAUCUAGAAUCUACAACUGAGAAAACAUAUUUUCGGAGACUGGUUUAAGUCACUUUAUAUGAUCUAUUGUCCUAGUUAUAUACAUUUUCUUGCAACUAAUAUAGUUUUGGCUUCUUUGUGGCUAAAGAAACUCCACUGUACUAGUGUAUGACAUUUUCUUUUCCAUCCCUCUGUUAAUGGACACAUAGGAUGACCCCGUAGCUCAGCUGUUGUGAACAGUGCUGUGGUACACAUUAAUGUGCAGAUGUCUCUGUGAGGUUGAUUUGGAACGCUCAUGGAAACCCCCCAGGACUGGAUGGCUGGUCAUUUUCAGACCUUCUUUUAGGUUUUUGAGGAACAUCCAGAUUGUUUUCCAUGUGUGGCUAGACUAGUUUACCUUCUCACCAAUCAUGUAUAAGGGCCCACUUUGUCCAUAUAUUUAUCAACAUUUAUGCUCUUAAUGAUGAAGAUUCCAUCUAGGGUGAGAUGUAGCUUUAAGGUCUGUUUCUCUGAUGGCUAGUAAGGCUGAAUAUUUUUGUGCAUUUACAGUCACUUAUUCAUUUAACAAGAACUGUACAUUUAGUACCUGAAUUGUUUGAUAUUUUUAAAGCUAUUUUUUAUUCUAGUUGUUUACCUUCUAUCAGAUAAGUAACUAUUCAAGAUUUUGUUCCAUUUGUAAGCUGUUUCUUCACUGAAUUAGCUACACUGAAACUUUUUAAUUUCAAAAGGUCGCAUUUGUCAAUUGCUGGCAUUAUUAAAUUCUUUUCUUGUAUCGGC